rnacentral:misc_RNA from 1 species
UAGAAGCAACCAAAAAGGAAAAAAGUAGGAAAAAUUACACAAAUUUGUAACAGAUAAAGAUAAGUCUUUGGAGAAGCGCACCAUUAGGCCGCUAAUUUCACCUACGACUGGAGAACACCUAGCAAUGAUGACUGAUAAAAGCUAUGACUCCAGUAACAGCGAGUCGGAGGAACGACGGACCAAGCACAAAAAGCCAAAGAAGCACAAGAAACACAAAAAGUCCUCGUCCAGCAAGAGUGAGAAGGAAAAGCACGCUCACAAGAAGCACAAGAAGGCUAAGAAACGUCUUCACCGGCAAAGCGAGUCCUCCGAGUCGGAGGCGCCGGAAACAGCGACGGUCAAGCAACCACGUAAUGCCUCAUUGAGCAGCAAGUUUACGGAGAUUAUGGAGAAGGCCAGUCGGAAUGGUUCCGAUUUAAGACUUGCUAAGCAAAAGCUGCCCACGGAUCCCUGUAGCUUAGUUGAGGAGAUUACCAAGACCAUACAGAACAAAGUGCUGCCUGUUCUGGAGGUUGCCAGCUCCGGCAGCGAGAGCGAUGUCCCUGUCGAUGUGGCCAGUCCUGUAAUUUCGCCGAUUAUAGAAGAUGAGCUCAACUUGGAGGACUUGAUGCGACAAAAGGCCCUGCUGCAGGCCCGCCUUGGUGCCUAUAUGUCGGACCCUGAGGCUGAGGAGAUGACCGAGCCACCCCACCAACGCCAGACGCCGAAGAAAGCCCAGCAGGAGUCUUCCCAGCAGGGGAAACCUGUGGCCAAGGCGGCUACCCAUGCAGCGCAGCCCCACAUAGCCGCCAGCAAGUCUGCAGCGCCGCUGGCCACUGCAACUAGUAAACACGCUAUUAUUAAACAGUCUAGCAAGCAUAACUCAAAUGAAUCCGAUGUUAUAUUGUUGGAUGAUUCUAGCGGAGGACAGCGCACGCCCUCGCCCACACCCGAGAAGCGAAGACGCCACGCAUCCCCUUCCCCGGCCACGGCAGCGCCCAGAAGUCGUACCCGUGAUGAGUCUUCGCACGGCCGUAGAGAGCGUCGCUCCAGGGAACGAGAACGGGAACGCCUUCGCAGCCGCACCCCACCCCGUCGCCGAGGAGAACAACCUCCGAUGCAGCCUAGGCCCCGCAGUCGCAACCGGAACAUGGAGGAUCUUCGACAAGAGAUCAACCGGGACAAGCAGCGCGAGAGGCGCGAACACAGCCAAAACCGUGAUCGCGAUAGGGACAGGGAGCGGGAGCGGGAUCGUCGAGGAGCGGAGAGGCAGCCGGCGGCCGAGUCGCGUAUGGGACGCGCUAGGGAUCGGGAUGGUAGGCCGAACCGUCAGCGAUCUCACAGUCGUAGUAAGUUGGAGUCAGACAGGCGCCGAGAGCGCGAGCGCCAAAAGGAUCGAGACCGUGGUGGUUUCGAUCGGGGCCGCGGUGGUGGUCGUGGUGGGGACAACGGGGUCGGCGACCGUGAUCGCUAUAAGGGCUCGCUAAGCGAAGGCCAGAAGAUGCAUGACAAGGAGAGCAGUGACGAGGACAUCAACCUAGACAUUGACAUUAACGAUGACGAAGACGAUGAGGAGCGUAUCAUCGAGCAGCGGCGGAAGAGGCGCGAAGAACUCCUUAAGAAACUGGGUUCUGGUCAGGAAUCCCACACGCCACAGAACUCCAACUCCUACGAGUCGCGAAGCACAUCGCCAGGGUCAUCCCAAAGACCGGCUAGGUCUCCCACUCCGACUCUCUCCGAUGCGGUUCCCCCUAAGGACGAGCCGCAGCUGGAUAACUCGGGUAACGCGAAGAACAGCAAGGACGCCGGUAAGGAGAAGCGAAAUGAAUGGGACAUGUUUGCUGACCAGGAUGUGGAUUCCAAUUUCGAUUCUCCCAACACAAUUGUCCAAAAUAAGCACCAACACGAGAAUCCCGCCCUCACCGACAACUGGGACGAUGCCGAGGGCUACUAUCGGGUUCGGAUUGGUGAGGUUCUGGACAACAGAUACCUGGUUAAUGGCUACACUGGUCAAGGCGUGUUCAGUAACGUUGUGCGCGGCAGAGAUCAGGCUCGCGGGCAGGCCAAUGUAGCCAUCAAAAUCAUUCGAAACAACGAGAUAAUGCAUAAAACGGGUUUGCGCGAGUUGGAAAUUCUCAAAAAACUUAAUGACGCUGAUCCGGAGGAUCGGUUUCAUUGUCUGCGCUUAUACCGCCACUUCUUUCACAAGCAGCACCUUUGUAUGGUUUUUGAGCCACUGGCGAUGAACCUCCGCGAGGUACUCAAGAAAUACGGCAAGAAUGUGGGCUUGCACAUAAAGGCCGUGCGGAGUUACACGCAGCAGUUGUUUUUGGCGCUCAAACUGCUGAAGAAGACUGGUAUUCUGCAUGCUGACAUCAAACCGGACAACAUUCUGGUAAACGAGAACAACCUGAUCCUGAAGCUGUGUGAUUUUGGAUCUGCAUCGGGCAUCAGUGACAACGAAAUUACCCCAUACCUUGUGUCGCGAUUCUAUCGAGCGCCAGAGAUUAUCCUGGGAAUACCGUACGACUAUGGCAUCGACACCUGGUCGGCCGGCUGCACCAUCUACGAGCUGUACACGGGGAAGAUCCUGUACAGUGGCAAGAGCAACAACCAGAUGCUCAAGUUUUUCAUGGAUGUGAAGGGCAAGAUUCCGAAUCGCAUUGUGCGCAAGGGCCAGUUUAAAGAACAGCAUUUCGAUCAGAGUUGCAACUUCUUGUACCACGAAAUAGACAAGCUCACUGAACGGGAAAAGAUUGUUGUGAUGCCGGUCAUUAAACCUUCAAGGAGUUUGCAACAGGAACUCAUCGCUGAUCAAAACCUACCCGAUGAUCAGCACCGCAAGGUGACCCAGCUGAAAGAUCUUUUGGAGAAUAUGUUCGCCUUGGACCCGGCGAAACGGAUUUCGCUCAACCAGGCACUAAUGCAUCCUUUCAUUCAGGAGAAAAUGUAGAGCAGUCUACGGCGUCGAAUAAACUGUGCCGCUGUUAACGGAAGAGCGUGUCUUGGCCAUGGGGCUCACUCAACUGCUUU